AGCGGUGAAACGCGUAGAGAUCUGGAGGAAUACCGGUGGCGAAGGCGGCCCCCUGGACAAAGACUGACGCUCAGGUGCGAAAGCGUGGGGAGCUGAACGGGAUUAGAUACCCUGGUAGUCCACGCCGUAAGCGAUGUCGAUUUGGAGGUUGUGCCCUUGAGGCGUGGCUUCCGGAGCUAACGCGUUAAAUCGACCGGCUGGGGAGUACGGCCGCAAGGUUAAAACUCGAAUGAAUUGACGGGGGCCCGCACAAGCGGUGGAGCAUGUGGUUUAAUUCGAUGCAACGCGAAGAACCUUACCUGGUCUUGACAUCCACAGAACUUAGCAGAGAUGCUUUGGUGCCUUCGGGAACUGUGAGACAGGUGCUGCAUGGCUGUCGUCAGCUCGUGUUGUGAAAUGUUGGGUUAAGUCCCGCAACGAGCGCAACCCUUAUCCUUUGUUGCCAGCGGUCCGGCCGGGAACUCAAAGGAGACUGCCAGUGAUAAACUGGAGGAAGGUGGGGAUGACGUCAAGUCAUCAUGGCCCUUACGACCAGGGCUACACACGUGCUACAAUGGCAUAUACAAAGAGAAACGACCUCGCGAGAGCAAGCGGACCUCAUAAAGUAUGUCGUAGUCCGGAUUGGAGUCUGCAACUCGACUCCAUGAAGUCGGAAUCGCUAGUAAUCGUAGAUCAGAAUGCUACGGUGAAUACGUUCCCGGGCCUUGUACACACCGCCCGUCACACCAUGGGAGUGGGUUGCAAAAGAAGUAAGUAGCUUAACCUUCGGGAG
rnacentral:rRNA from 1 species